rnacentral:rRNA from 1 species
GACGAACGCUGGCGGCGUGCCUAACACAUGCAAGUCGAACGGGGUGAUUUUCUUCGGAGGAUCACUUAGUGGCGAACGGGUGAGUAACGCGUGAGAAACCUGCCUUUCAGUGGGGGACAACAGUUGGAAACGACUGCUAAUACCGCAUAAUGUCAUUUUGGGGCAUCCCUGAAUGACCAAAGCUUAAUGUGCUGAAAGAUGGUCUCGCGUCUGAUUAGCUAGUUGGUGAGGUAAUGGCUCACCAAGGCGACGAUCAGUAGCCGGUCUGAGAGGAUGAACGGCCACAUUGGGACUGAGAUACGGCCCAGACUCCUACGGGAGGCAGCAGUGGGGAAUAUUGGGCAAUGGGGGAAACCCUGACCCAGCAACGCCGCGUGAAGGAAGAAGGGCCUUCGGGUUGUAAACCGACUGUCCUUGGGUAAGAAACGAAAUAGACGGUACCCAAGAAGGAAGCACGGCUAACUACGUGCCAGCAGCCGCGG